GGUGAAAAGCACCCCGGAAGGGGAGUGAAAUAGAACCUGAAACCGUGUGCUUACAAGUAGUCAGAGCCCGUUAAUGGGUGAUGGCGUGCCUUUUGUAGAAUGAACCGGCGAGUUACGAUUUGAUGCAAGGUUAAGCAGUAAAUGUGGAGCCGUAGCGAAAGCGAGUCUGAAUAGGGCGUUUAGUAUUUGGUCGUAGACCCGAAACCAGGUGAUCUACCCUUGGUCAGGUUGAAGUUCAGGUAACACUGAAUGGAGGACCGAACCGACUUACGUUGAAAAGUGAGCGGAUGAACUGAGGGUAGCGGAGAAAUUCCAAUCGAACCUGGAGAUAGCUGGUUCUCUCCGAAAUAGCUUUAGGGCUAGCCUCAAGUGAUGAUUAUUGGAGGUAGAGCACUGUUUGGACGAGGGGCCCCUCUCGGGUUACCGAAUUCAGACAAACUCCGAAUGCCAAUUAAUUUAACUUGGGAGUCAGAACAUGGGUGAUAAGGUCCGUGUUCGAAAGGGAAACAGCCCAGACCACCAGCUAAGGUCCCAAAAUAUAUGUUAAGUGGAAAAGGAUGUGGCGUUGCCCAGACAACUAGGAUGUUGGCUUAGAAGCAGCCAUCAUUUAAAGAGUGCGUAAUAGCUCACUAGUCGAGUGACACUGCGCCGAAAAUGUACCGGGGCUAAACAUAUUACCGAAGCUGUGGAUUGUCCUUUGGACAAUGGUAGGAGAGCGUUCUAAGGGCGUUGAAGCAUGAUCGUAAGGACAUGUGGAGCGCUUAGAAGUGAGAAUGCCGGUGUGAGUAGCGAAAGACGGGUGAGAAUCCCGUCCACCGAUUGACUAAGGUUUCCAGAGGAAGGCUCGUCCGCUCUGGGUUAGUCGGGUCCUAAGCUGAGGCCGACAGGCGUAGGCGAUGGAUAACAGGUUGAUAUU
rnacentral:rRNA from 1 species